GAUUAACGCUAGCGGCAGGCCUAAUACAUGCAAGUCGAACGGCAGCACGGAUAGCAAUAUCUGGUGGCGAGUGGCGCACGGGUGCGUGACACGUAUGCAAUCUACCCUUAACUGGGGGAUAGCCCCGAGAAAUCGGGAUUAAUACCCCAUAACAUUGCGAUGAGGCAUCUCAUUGCAAUUAAAGCUCCGGCGGUUUUGGAUGAGCAUGCGCGACAUUAGUUAGUUGGUGAGGUAACGGCUCACCAAGACUUCGAUGUCUAGGGGUUCUGAGAGGAUUCACCCCCAGACUGGUACUGAGACACGGACCAGACUCCUACGGGAGGCAGCAGUAAGGAAUAUUGGUCAAUGGGCGCAAGCCUGAACCAGCCAUGCCGCGUGAAGGAUGACGGCCCUACGGGUUGUAAACUUCUUUUGUACGGGAAAAAACCACCGGUCGUGAACCGGUGCUGAUGGUACCGUAAGAAUAAGCAUCGGCUAACUCCGUGCCAGCAGCCGCAGUAA
rnacentral:rRNA from 1 species